CACAUAUGCAGAAGGUGUGCAGCUUCGUAUACUUAGUCAAUUCAUAUUUUAGACCUAGGCACAUAUGCAGAAGGUGUGCAGCUUCCAAGACAUAAUAUCAAAUUCCCAAAUCCCUUCAAGAGAUAAUAUAAAUCGUGAUUUUUCUCAAGUGGUAAAGUAUAACAUUUUCCAAAUCCUAAUCAUGUUUUCAUGCUUCGAUGAAAUAACUUAAGAUCAUGUUUCAUACUUACAUGCUUUGGUGAAGUAACUUAACAUCAUGUUUCAUUCAUACUUACAUGCUUCGAUGAGACACCUUAAGAUCAUGUAGUGAGAAAUUAUAGUUCUGCGAAGUACCUGGAUCACCACUAGUUAGUGGGUUACCUUUGUUAUAUUACGGCUUAGACAUUCUGUGCUGGGAUGUAGAGUUCCUGUGUUGAAGACCAGCUUAGAUAUCCCGCAGCACCGCUUAGAAAAUUAUGUAGCGCAGCUUUAGUAACUCUUCUUGCUUUCAUUCCUGCGCAGCUUAAUAAUUUUACUUCAUCUUGUUAUUCCACUAAUUCCUCCUUUUCCUUUGCUGUUGUAUCCUUCUUCGCAUGAUCUCAUGAGUGUUAAAGAAGACAGCAUUUCCA
rnacentral:lncRNA from 1 species